rnacentral:lncRNA from 1 species
GGCAUUUCAAACAGCUUGGAACUCUUGUAUUCCUGGCAUCCUCUGUGAGGUCCAGCAGCCCGGUGAUGAACAACCUCAACAAGAGACACCACCACCUAAAAGUUGGAAUAUUUCUUCCGUUCAAGAGAAAGGAGAUGAAGAAAUAUCUGUGGUUCAAAGUGAAAAGAAGGGGAAGAAGAAUGCCUAUGGAUGGAGGUUUAUGUGUGCAUCAUGCAUUAUGACAGAUCA